UGACAGUCGGACACCUCUGAUUCCCAUUACUCCUGUUGAAGACGAAGAUGCAACAACCGAGACCUCUGAUUACGCAAGUCCUGCUGCUGUCUUUAUGAGUGCACAGCCCUCCCUGUUUACUUCUGCUGGCACAUCCACAUCUCAACAUGUUUUACUGAAUGCGAUGUCUUCUACUUCUAGUUUGAGUUCCAUGGCUGGAAUGGAUCUUGGCAAUGAACGUGAUGUUGUAGCUGCUGCAUCAGCGGCACUCAGUGCACUAGUGAAGAGCAAUGAGGUAGGUAGCUCGAUUGACCGCGAAUUGCUUGUUAAUAUUCUCAACAAUCCAAAAAUGAUUGAACAGCUGGUUGUGGAUUCUGGUGCUGUCACUAGCACUCAGAAGCCAAUAUCGCCUCCUGACCCACCGCUUGUACCUAUGCAUAUGUCCGAAGCCAAUGCCAGCA
rnacentral:misc_RNA from 1 species